ACUCUAAAAUAUAUUGACAUAAAAAUUUUAAUUCGAAGCUUCUAUAUUAGCAUACAAAUUAUUAAUUUAAAAAGACCAGUAUUAUGUCAUGGAGUGAGAUAUCGGAUUUAGCUAAGUUAUAUUCGCAAUAGCAUAAGACUACAUUGGACUAAGUCAUAUUCGGAAUAGCGUGAAAUUGAUUGGACCGAAUCACAAGCGAGACUCGCGUAUAUUAUAUUUAUACGCAAGUAACUUGGUCGAGCUUUUAGAAUUAAUAGUUAACGCCACGAUUUUUACGAAUUAUAAAAAAAUAACAAUAAUAUGAAAGGAUUUAUUGUUUGGCUUCAGAAAAUAACAAAAGUUUUUAAAGUUUAUUUUGUAUUUAAAUUU
rnacentral:lncRNA from 1 species